GAUGAACGCUGGCGGCGUGCCUAAUACAUGCAAGUCGAGCGAACGGACGAGAAGCUUGCUUUUCUGAUGUUAGCGGCGGACGGGUGAGUAACACGUGGAUAACCUACCUAUAAGACUGGGAUAACUUCGGGAAACCGGAGCUAAUACCGGAUAAUAUUUUGAACCGCAUGGUUCAAAAGUGAAAGACGGUCUUGCUGUCACUUAUAGAUGGAUCCGCGCUGCAUUAGCUAGUUGGUAAGGUAACGGCUUACCAAGGCAACGAUGCAUAGCCGACCUGAGAGGGUGAUCGGCCACACUGGAACUGAGACACGGUCCAGACUCCUACGGGUGGCAGCAGUAGGGAAUCUUCCGCAAUGGGCGAAAGCCUGACGGAGCAACGCCGCGUGAGUGAUGAAGGUCUUCGGAUCGUAAAACUCUGUUAUUAGGGAAGAACAUAUGUGUAAGUAACUGUGCACAUCUUGACGGUACCUAAUCAGAAAGCCACGGCUAACUACGUG
rnacentral:rRNA from 1 species